rnacentral:rRNA from 1 species
UACAGAGGCCCCGAGCAUUAUCCGGAAUCACUGGGCGUAAAGGGUGUGUAGGCGGUCGCGUUAGUCCUUUGUAAAAGGUCUCUGGCUUAACCAGGGAACUGCAGGGGAAACGGCGCGACUCGAGGACGCGAGAGGUAUGGGGAACUCAUGGUGUAGGGGUGAAAUCCGUUGAUAUCAUGGGGAACACCAAAUGCGAAGGCACCAUACUGGCGCGCUCCUGACGCUGAGACACGAAAGCGUGGGUAGCGAAUGGG